GUGCUAGUUAACUUCAGCAUUUACUUCCAUGGAAUGCAGAAUUUUGAGACAGGAUUGUGACUGGACUGGAAUAAGAAUAAGGAAGCUUCAGACACUCUAGACUUGGAGUGGAAUUCAGCAACUUAAAUGGCGUUGUGUUGGCUUCUUCAUGGGAGAUGAGAAUAUUUUCAGGUUUCUGAGGCAUAUUUGCAUUGUAUUAGGUGAUAUUUUUGUUGACUGAUUUAUUUUGUGGUUUUCUGCUGUUGACAGUGAAAAUGUGGGAGAAACAAAGUGGAUGUGCUGAUGCUGCAUAGUAAAAUGGGUGCACAUUUGUCAUGAUUUUCUGCUGUCCAGCAUGUAAAGCCUCCUGUGUAUGGAAAAUCUACCUGUUCCUUGAAGUUCACGAUAUUACUUUCUCCUGGCACUAAAGUAAGAGGAUUUAGAUCGGAAGAAAUGAGGCAAAAUGUUAUCCAUGAGUAGAAUCUUUGGCUGCUGAUUUUAUUUCUGGCAACAAUACAAAACCAAACGACCAAGAGGAUUAAAAAAGAAAAAAAACAAAACAGUCUGCACAGGACAAUUCCAGGGCCUUUGGGAUCUGCAUCUUUU
ensembl:lncRNA